GAUGAACGCUGGCGGCGUGCCUAAUACAUGCAAGUCGAGCGAACGGACGAGAAGCUUGCUUUUCUGCUGUUAGCGGCGGACGGGUGAGUAACACGUGGAUAACCUACCUCUAAGACUGGGAUAACUUCGGGAAACCGGAGAUAAUACCGGCUCAUAUUUUGAACCGCAUGGUUCAAAAGUGCAAGACGGUCUUGCUGUCACUUAUAGCUGGAUCCGCGCUGCAUUAGCUAGUUGGUAAGGUAACGGCUUACCAAGGCGACGAUGCAUAGCCGACCUGAGAGGAUGAUCAGCCACACUGGAACUGAGACACGGUCCAGACUCCUACGGGAGGCAGCAGUGGGGAAUAUUGCGCAAUGGGCGCAAGCCUGACCGAGCAAUACCGCGUGAGUGAAGAAGGCCUUCGGGUCGUAAAGCCCUUUUGUUGGGAAAGAACAGAAGUAGAUUAAUCUCUGGCUGUUCUGACGGUACCUAAUGAAUAAGCACCGGCUAACUUCGUG
rnacentral:rRNA from 1 species